AACAUGCCAAGCGGCUGUCAAAAAGCCAACGGCGAAGCGGCGGCGCUCUCUCAAAAAAGAAAAAAAUAUAUAAAUAUAAAUAAAAUAAAAAUCAAAUCAAGCGCGAGCUCGACUUCGAGUCCGAGUUUGAUGACGUUUCGGGUUUGGCAUUCAAGAAAGAACAAAGCCAGCGCCGAUGGGUUGCCCCUUGGGCCUAGAGACGACACCGUGACGCAUCGUGAGAGCUAUGAACUGUGCCAAGUGCGAGCUGUCAAUGCCAGGCUAUUAUUAGUUGUAUCGCAGUUUUAUGCAAAGUUCUCAACCAGUUAUUGAAAGAAGUUUGCAGUUUCUAUAGAUGAAUAACUUUGACGCGUAGUUCGAUUGUUGAGUAAUCUAAGCAAUUCAUAAAAGGAUUAGAUAAGAGGAGGCAGAUUUGAACUUAUGGAUUUGAACUCAUGAACUCAUGUAGCAUUAAAUAGAUAAGUAAAUAAUAGUCCUAGUAACAAAUGCCUUUGUAUAGGCCGUAAUCGAUAUUAGUAAGUACUUUAUCCCAAAAAAUACAUUCUUAAUGUUCA